rnacentral:misc_RNA from 1 species
ACUUAAAUAAAAGGGGAGUAGCUGCAACAAUUAUGUCGUCAUUACGAGAAUAAUCUCCGGCAUAAUUGGCAACUAACGUUGUUAGCAAGACCUUUAUCGUUUGU